CGGGUGAAAGUAGAGUGGCGGACGGGUGAGUAACGCGUGGGAAUCUGCCCAGUAGUGGGGGAUAACUCGAGGAAACUCGAGCUAAUACCGCAUACGCCCCAUGGGGGAAAGGCUUCGGCCGCUAUUGGAUGAGCCCGCGUCAGAUUAGCUAGUUGGUAGGGUAAAGGCCUACCAAGGCGACGAUCUGUAGCUGGUCUGAGAGGACGAACAGCCACACUGGGACUGAGACACGGCCCAG
rnacentral:rRNA from 1 species